rnacentral:rRNA from 1 species
GAUCAUUACCGAGUUUACAACUCCCAAACCCCUGUGAACAUACCAAUUGUUGCCUCGGCGGAUCAGCCCGCUCCCGGUAAAACGGGACGGCCCGCCAGAGGACCCCUAAACUCUGUUUCUAUAUGUAACUUCUGAGUAAAACCAUAAAUAAAUCAAAACUUUCAACAACGGAUCUCUUGGUUCUGGCAUCGAUGAAGAACGCAGCAAAAUGCGAUAAGUAAUGUGAAUUGCAGAAUUCAGUGAAUCAUCGAAUCUUUGAACGCACAUUGCGCCCGCCAGUAUUCUGGCGGGCAUGCCUGUUCGAGCGUCAUUUCAACCCUCAAGCCCAGCUUGGUGUUGGGACUCGCGAGUCAAAUCGCGUUCCCCAAAUUGAUUGGCGGUCACGUCGAGCUUCCAUAGCGUAGUAGUAAAACCCUCGUUACUGGUAAUCGUCGCGGCCACGCCGUUAAACCCCAACUUCUGAAUGUUGACCUCGGAUCAGGUAGGAAUACCCGCUGAACUUAAGCAUAUCAAUAAGCGGAGGAAAAGAAACCAACAGGGAUUGCCCUAGUAACGGCGAGUGAAGCGGCAACAGCUCAAAUUUGAAAUCUGGCUCUCGGGCCCGAGUUGUAAUUUGUAGAGGAUACUUUUGAUGCGGUGCCUUCCGAGUUCCCUGGAACGGGACGCCAUAGAGGGUGAGAGCCCCGUCUGGUUGGAUGCCAAAUCUCUGUAAAGUUCCUUCGACGAGUCGAGUAGUUUGGGAAUGCUGCUCUAAAUGGGAGGUAUAUGUCUUCUAAAGCUAAAUACCGGCCAGAGACCGAUAGCGCACAAGUAGAGUGAUCGAAAGAUGAAAAGCACUUUGAAAAGAGAGUUAAAAAGUACGUGAAAUUGUUGAAAGGGAAGCGUUUAUGACCAGACUUGGGCUUGGUUGAUCAUCUGGGGUUCUCCCCAGUGCACUCUUCCAGUCCAGGCCAGCAUCAGUUUUCGCCGGGGGAUAAAGACUUCGGGAAUGUGGCUCUCUUCGGGGAGUGUUAUAGCCCGUUGUGUAAUACCCUGGCGGGGACUGA